rnacentral:rRNA from 1 species
GACGAACGCUGGCGGCGUGCUUAACACAUGCAAGUCGAACGGAAAGGCCCUGCUUUUGUGGGGUGCUCGAGUGGCGAACGGGUGAGUAACACGUGAGUAACCUGCCCUUGACUUUGGGAUAACUUCAGGAAACUGGGGCUAAUACCGGAUAGGAGCUCCUGCUGCAUGGUGGGGGUUGGAAAGUUUCGGCGGUUGGGGAUGGACUCGCGGCUUAUCAGCUUGUUGGUGGGGUAGUGGCUUACCAAGGCUUUGACGGGUAGCCGGCCUGAGAGGGUGACCGGCCACAUUGGGACUGAGAUACGGCCCAGACUCCUACGGGAGGCAGCAGUGGGGAAUAUUGCACAAUGGGCGGAAGCCUGAUGCAGCAACGCCGCGUGCGGGAUGACGGCCUUCGGGUUGUAAUCCGCUUUCGCCUGUGACGAAGCGUGAGUGACGGUAAUGGGUAAAGAGGCACCGGCUAACUACGUG